GUGCUUAACACAUGCAAGUCGAACGAUGAAACCUAGCUUGCUAGGUGGAUUAGUGGCGCACGGGUGAGUAAUAUAUAGAUAACGUGCCUCUUAGUCUGGGAUAGCCAUUGGAAACGAUGAUUAAUACUGGAUACUCCUUCUCUUUAUAAUAAGAGUUGGGAAAGUUUUUCGCUAAGAGAUCGGUCUAUAUCCCAUCAGGUAGUUGGUAGUGUAAGAGACUACCAAGCCUAUGACGGGUAGCGGGUUUGAGAGGAUGAUCCGCCACACUGGUACUGAGACACGGACCAGACUCCUACGGGAGGCAGCAGUGAGGAAUAUUGCACAAUGGAGGAAACUCUGAUGCAGCAACGCCGCGUGGAGGAUGACGCAUUUCGGUGUGUAAACUCCUUUUAUAUGUCAAGAAAAUGACGGUAGCAUAUGAAUAAGCACCGGCUAACUCCGUGCCAGCAGCCGCGGUAAUACGGAGGGUGCAAGCGUUAUUCGGAAUCACUGGGCGUAAAGGACACGUAGGCGGGAAGCCAAGUCUGAUGUGAAAUCCUAUGGCUCAACCAUAGAACUGCAUUGGAAACUGGUUACCUAGAGUAUGGGAGGGGGAGAUGGAAUUAGUGGUGUAGGGGUAAAAUCCGUAGAUAUCACUAGGAAUACCUAAAGCGAAGGCGAUCUCCUGGAACAUUACUGACGCUAAGGUGUGAAAGCGUGGGGAGCAAACGGGAUUAGAUACCCCGGUAGUCCACGCCCUAAACGAUGUUCACUAGUCGUCGGGAUGCUAGUCAUCUCGGUGAUGCACUUAACAGAUUAAGUGAACCGCCU
rnacentral:rRNA from 1 species